rnacentral:misc_RNA from 1 species
CUCGUGUCUUUGAGGAAAGAGGAAGAGCAAUGCGGGGCGGCCGCAAAGUAGUUAAGGGGUUCUAUGCGCCCGCAAUGGUCUUACUAUACCACCAACUAUUUAUGUACGUCGUGUAAUAUGCACUGUAAGCUAUUCGAAUCAAUAUGGCCGCCGAAGAAGAUGUGACCAUGGCUGAUGUCGAUUGUUCAACCCAGUGGUUAGUUGAAAGAGCUAGACAAAGUCUUAAAGAAAACAAUCCUUAUGAAGCUAAAGCGUGGCUUAUAACUGCUAAGACUUUAUAUCCCAAAGAUUUUGGACUUCAGUAUGAGGCUUACACUAUUGAAAGAAAUGCUGAGAGAGUUCAGGAGUCAGCCAACCUCUUCUACAUCAUGUUUGAGCAGUUUCCAGACAGCAACAUACUUUGGAAGGAAGUAGCAAGCUUCACUGAUGCCCUUGAAAGUGAGGUCACGGACCAACAUGGAAAAUUUUUGACAGACAUGUUUAGCAGUCUUCCACAGCAUGCCCAGCGAGAAAUACUUCUCAAGGCAGCAGGGAGAUGCAAAGAUUGUAUUGAGAAAUGCAGGAUGAUGUUACUGUUGAUGAGAAGAUUUCCUGAUGUGAUUCCAAAGAAUGGGGUUGCCUUGACCGAGAUGUUAAUUGAUGCUGAAAACUCUGAGUAUCCAGAUGCUCCUGUCAAUCCUUAUAGAAAGUUGUUAGUCUGUGAUGUUUUGCCUCAUUUGCUGGCUAGUGAUAACAUGGCUGUUGAUACUUCAUCUGCAAAUGGUAGUCAAGAUGAUGAGGACUGUGCACCAGGCAUCUCUCUUCCUCAAGUAUACAAGUGGCUGGAGUUAUCCAUUCAUUUCUAUGUCUCGUGCGCCACUGCCCACAACUUCCUGUCUGAGAAUUCUGAUGCUCAACAUGGCAUUAUAGACACAAGCAUUGUAGCUGAGGUGCUGGAUGGAAAGGGCCCCUGGGUUGCCCUACAUGAGCUGUUUUACCUAACAGCACAAAAGUGUGGCUGGGCGGAGAUCUGUAGAAUUCACGACAGGCUUGAUCCCAAAAAGUACAGAAGCAGCAAUGACCAUUGGGCUAGCAUAUCAGAACUACACUACAAACUGAAGAGGAUGUCAAAACAUAGCUUAGAAGAGGGCACAGAGGAGGAGAUGAUAGAGAAAACAGGGGUCAUGUUUGCCGCUAUUAUCUUGUUUCUACAGACAGUCUGGGAAUACUGCCGUGUUGUCAAUAGACUUGACUUAGUGUCAGCUUCCUCUGGUUUAGUAUUUCCGUUAGUUCUCAUAGAGGACAGUGUGAAUGAAAAUCAUCAAAGCAGUGCAUCAAGCAACUCAGCUGGAGGAGGUAGCAAUAGUCCAGCACCAAAGAAGAAAAAAAGGAAACUGGCAUCUGGUAGGCCUGGCUCUCCUGGGAAAGAUGAUAGUAAGAACAAGCAACCUGCAAACAUUAUAAUAGACAAAAAUUGUGGUUCAGUCAGUCAAAACCUUUCAGAUGACUUCAUUGUUUCUGUGGAGGCGUGGCAUCUUCUAAACACACACACCGACUAUAAAAACGAUUUUACACGUCUGUUAGAUGAGUGGGAAGUUGAUCAGUGGAACUGGAUGGGAACCUUUGAAGUGGACAGACUUAUUUAUAAGGGAAAAUACAAGAAGGCUGUUGAAUUUCUUCAGGAACAAAAGCGUUCCUUGGAAAAGGAUGCCUCGGCAAACCAAGAGUCAUUAAUCAGAGGAGCCAUUCAGCUGUCCUGUUCUUAUUUUCACCUUGAUGAUCACAAGAAGGCCUGUGAAGAAGCUCUUUACGCUCUCAACUUCUUUUCGUCUAGAGCGUCUCCUGGAGACAACAUGGCGCUCAAAAGAUCCUCGUCAAUUCAUCAGGGAAAACUUGAUAAAAGUGCAAAUGAGCUUUCAAUAUUGGGUUCUUCGCAUUCUGGUAAAUGAGCACAGAAAUUCCAAGACUAUCCUAACACAGUCGAACCUCUCCACAACGGCCACCUUGGGGACGGAAGAUAGUGGCCGUUAUAGAGAGGUCGAUGUUUGAGGUUGAUUCAGUGCAGUGAAACAGAAGUGCUAUCCCUUACUGUCGGUUUACUUCUUUCUUCG